rnacentral:lncRNA from 1 species
CAGCACCAACACCUUUUGACUUCUCUCACUGGAUUAGGUCUCCCGAGCCGGCCCCACAACCCGCACAAAUGACCAGGGGUGUUCCCGAGGUCCCGCGUCAGUCAUCGGAGCCUGGUCUCUGCUCCGUUGCUGAAGGUAAAGGUCCUGAGAAAAACCAGCAUCGACCGCAGCUGUCCUCAGGGAUACGUGUACACUCGAGAUAAGG